rnacentral:rRNA from 1 species
AGGCCCCAGAGGCGUAGCCGAUGGUAAACGGGUUGAAAUUCCCGUCCCGUCUGUAAACGUUGAACCCAUCAGGGACACUGGAACGAAGGAGGAGCGGCUUUGUGGAUGGCCGUCUAACUGUGUAGGCGUAAGCCGAGACAGGAAUGCGAGGACUGCGGGGCAACCCAACGUUCAAGUCUUCUGGAGUCGACAGGCAAGAAAAGCUGAUGGCGGAGUUUGCAGAUGUCCGUACCGUAAACCGACACAGGUGGGUGAGGCGAGUAGCCUCAGGUGAACGAGUGAAACGUGGUCAAGGAACUCGGCAUAAUGAUCCCGUAACUUCGGAAGAAGGGAUGCCUCAGCUGGUGUAGGGUACACCGAAGCUGGUUGAGGUCGCAGUGAAUCGGCCCAAGCGACUGUUUAGCAAAAACACAGGUGUGUGCCAAGCCGCACAAGGCGCCGUAUACACACUGACGCCUGCCCGGUGCCGGAAGGUUAAGGGGAGAGGUUAGCCGCAAGGCGAAGCUUUGAGCCGAAGCCCCGGUAAACGGCGGCCGUAACAAUAACGGUCCUAAGGUAGCGAAAUUCCUUGUCGGGUAAGUUCCGACCUGCACGAAUGGCGUAACGACUUGGGCACUGUCUCGACCACGUGCUCGGCGAAAUGGCAGUCUCGGUGAGGAUUCCGAGUCCCCGCGACAGGACAAAAAGACCCCAUGCACCUUUACUGCAGCUUGUCAUUGGUCGUUGCACAUCGCUGUGUAGCAUAGGUGGGAGUCGAUGAUCCGUGGGCGCUAGCUUACGGGGAGACAUCAGUGAAAUACCACCCUGCGUCGUGCGACGCCCUCACCACGGCGGGAAAACCCCGUCUGGGACCGUGGCAGGUGGGCAGUUUGACUGGGGCGGUCGCCUCCGAAACAGUAACGGAGGCGCGCGCAAGGUUGGCUCAGCGCGGACGGUACUCGCGCUUCUAGAGUGUAACGGCAGAAGCCAGCCUGACGGUGAGAUCGACGGAUCGAGCCGCCACGAAAGUGGGCCGUAGUGAUCCGGUAGCCCGGGGUGGAGCGGCUAUCGCGCAACGGAUAAAAGGUACGCUGGGGAUAACAGGCUUAUCGCGCCCGAGAGUUCACAUCGACGGCGCGGUUUGGCACCUCGAUGUCGGCUUAUCACAUCCUGGGGCUGGAGAAGGUCCCAAGGGUCCGGCUGUUCGCCGGUUAAAGUGGUACAUGAGCUGGGUUCAGAACGUCGUGAGACAGUUCGGUCUGUAUCCGUCGUGGGCGUUGGAACGUUGAGGGGAGCGGACUCUAGUACGAGAGGACCGAGUCGGACGACCCGCUCGUGUCCCGGUUGUUCCGCCAGGAGCACCGCCGGGUAGCGAUGGUUGGCUGUGAUAACCGCUGAAAGCAUCUAAGUGGGAAGCACGCCCCAAGAUGAACGUUCCCGAGGCCUUGAGCCUCUUGAAGGGCCGGGGAAGACCACCCCGUCGAUAGGCCGCCCGUGGACGUCUCGCGAGAGAUUCCAAGCGCAGCGGUCCUAAUCGCCCGUACGGCUUGACUAC